CCUACGGGGGGCUGCAGUGGGGAAUAUUGCACAAUGGGCGAAAGCCUGAUGCAGCAACGCCGCGUGAGCGAUGAAGGUCUUCGGGUCGUAAAGCUCUGUCCUAAGGGAAGAAUAUUGACGGUACCUUAGGAGGAAGCCCCGGCUAACUACGUGCCAGCAGCCGCGGUAAUACGUAGGGGGCUAGCGUUAUCCGGAAUUACUGGGCGUAAAGGGUGAGUAGGCGGCCCUUCAAGUCAGAGGUGAAAGGCUACGGCUCAAACGUAGUAAGCGUUUGAAACUUGAGGGCUUGAGUGGAGGAGAGGAGAGUUGAAUUCCCAGUGUAGCGGUGAAAUGCGUAGAUAUUGGGAUGAACACGAGUUGCGAAGGCGGCUCUCUGGACUGUAACUGACGCUGAGGCACGAAAGCGUGGGGAGCGAACAGAAUUAGAUACCCCGGUAGUG
rnacentral:rRNA from 1 species